GACGAACGCUGGCGGCGUGCUUAACACAUGCGAGUCGAACGGAAAGGCCCUGCUUUUGUGGGGUGCUCGAGUGGCGAACGGGUGAGUAACACGUGAGUAACCUGCCCUUGACUUUGGGAUAACUUCAGGAAACUGGGGCUAAUACAGGAUAGGAGCUCCUGCUGCAUGGUGGGGGUUGGAAAGUUUCGGCGGUUGGGGAUGGACUCGCGGCUUAUCAGCUUGUUGGUGGGGUAGUGGCUUACCAAGGCUUUGACGGGUAGCCGGCCUGAGAGGGUGACCGGCCACAUUGGGACUGAGAUACGGCCCAGACUCCUACGGGAGGCAGCAGUGGGGAAUAUUGCACAAUGGGCGGAAGCCUGAUGCAGCAACGCCGCGUGCGGGAUGACGGCCUUCGGGUUGUAAACCGCUUUCGCCUGUGACGAAGCGUGAGUGACGGUAAUGGGUAAAGAAGCACCGGCUAACUACGUG
rnacentral:rRNA from 1 species